rnacentral:rRNA from 1 species
UGGGGAAUAUUGCACAAUGGGCGCAAGCCUGAUGCAGCCAUGCCGCGUGUGUGAAGAAGGCCUUCGGGUUGUAAAGCACUUUCAGCGAGGAGGAAGGGUAGUGUGUUAAUAGCACAUUGCAUUGACGUUACUCGCAGAAGGAGCACCGGCUAACCCCGUGCCAGCAGCCGCGGUAAUACGGAGGGUGCAAGCGUUAAUCGGAAUUACUGGGCGUAAAGCGCACGCAGGCGGUUUGUUAAGUCAGAUGUGAAAUCCCCGCGCUUAACGUGGGAACUGCAUUUGAAACUGGCAAGCUAGAGUCUUGUAGAGGGGGGUAGAAUUCCAGGUGUAGCGGUGAAAUGCGUAGAGAUCUGGAGGAAUACCGGUGGCGAAGGCGGCCCCCUGGACAAAGACCGACGCUCAGGUGCGAAAGCG